UCUCGGAUGGCGAAAGAGCCGUCGGUGAA
rnacentral:sRNA from 1 species